GUGGGUAUAGCUCAGUGGUAGAGUGUUUGAUUGCAAAUCAAGUGGUUCUUGGUUCAAACCCCAGUGUUCUCU